CAAAUUGCUAGUGCGACAAUGAUAAUACAAGCCAACUAUCGCCAGGCCCACCAAUUAAAUUCCCUGUGAUGGGGGGAUAAUAGAGGAUACCUACAGAAACAAAUGUACAGAAAAAAGUUGACUAAUAAAGAAGCUCACAGCAAAGACAUAUGAUGAGCACACAUAUAUGAAACUGAGGACCACAGUGCCUCAAUCACACAACCAUGGAAUUUAAGUAACAUCGGUCCACAACCCUAUAAAGCUUGCAGACGAGGUUGACACUUUCAACAGAGCUCCCAUGCUAGACUGCGCCACCGGCUCAUGCAAUCAAGACAAAAACAUGAUACAUACUAUACAAAUACAAUACAUGUAUAUAUACAAUACAUGUAUAUAUACAACAAGGAGCUAGAAUGAGAGAUGCUCGUAUACCACACACCUGUCCUGCUAGUGGCACCACCUGUUUUAUCUGAUGUUAAAACAUAACAACUUCUUUUCAUCAAGCUUGGCUAGACUAACUAGUACAUCAAACUGGUGAAUGCAAUACUCGUAUUUAGGUGAUCACAUUAACUAAACAAUAAAGCUUUCUGCUAUAUAAUUAUUGCACAAAAAUCCAUUCACAUUGAACUUCAAGGAUAUUAGACAUAAGCCCCCCACCUCUCCCAAGUAUUUCAACAACACACAUGAAUGCUUCCAACUAUCCUUCAUAACUACAAACUGCAAACAUGUUUAGUGUUAGAGGAAUUCACUCUCUUAAUGUCUCCCCCUUUUAGUACUAUAAGAUGAGAAAGCAAUGUUUGUGCAGCUGAUUACUCUCUCAUUACCAAUAUUGUUGGAUGCUGAUAACAGCAAUCAAUUGAUAAAAUGAACAAACGCACAGAAUAGACGCUCAAGAAUUUAGAGCUCGUCCUUUGCAUUCCCUAAAUGCAACUGUACAUCACGUUUAUUUAGCUCAAACGAAUCUUCUCUGUACACGUUUCAAAAUGGAUAAAGGACUGCAUCAGUACUAAAUAGUCAAUUACCAACUUCUGUUGCUUCUAUAACAAAAUUAACUGUAUCACAGCCGUAUCUAAUUGGUAAUGGCAUAAGCAAGUACUGACAUAUUAUAUCAACCAAGAUAGUACUAAUAUGAAGGGAAGAAUUCAGUAUAGCAAACAGUACCUUUCUAGAGUUGUUGCGAGCAUUUAUGAAUAUAAAUUGGAUAGAUCUCUGCUACAGGAAUUGAUUGAGUACAAUGAAUUAAUUCACAACUGUGAAACCAUUGAAAAACGAGAAUUGAGUUAACCAGAAAUGGAGGGGCCAUCAAGCUUCCGUACUCCUAAUAAAACUCAAUACAUAAAACCCUAUAAUACACUAUGAACAUCUUAAAGUAAAGCAUUGCCAGAAACUAUCAAGCAAAUGGACUGGAUAUUUGAAAAUGUUGACAUUAAACGCUGUAUAAAUCUUAUUGAAAAUCACCCUAAACCUCUGCAGAGUGAAGGUUUUCUACGUUCCAUUGAUGGUACACAAGCAUAUGCCCCGCAUAUCAGUAAAGCACACUGUAAACUAAACGCAUGAACCUUUCAGCAAACGGAGGAGAAUGGGGAUAAUCUCUUCAACAUAUACAUGUUAGUACCUGUGACUGAAACAAAUGGCGUAUAUGUAAAUAGAUUCAAAUUGUAGCACCUGUGACUAAUCAUCUAAGCUCCUUAUGUCAAACUUUGGAGACAUAGUCCUCUUCGAUGCAUCGAGUAAGCAAUGGACUGCCAUACGGGAUGCUCUUGAAGCACAAUAACAGGAUGUCACGCGUGAACCUUGGAAGUGCAUAACCUGUAAAUCAUUUGGUAAUGAGUUCAAGAGGGAGUCUGACGCUUUCCUAGAAAAGCUGCAUUGGACAACAGAUUUGAAAGGUUAUCAAAACAGCUCAAGCUGCUCAACUGCUCUGGACAAUAACCCAACUGGGUUGGCCGCUUGGUGAUUUUCUGAAGGCGGCAAAGAUAGGUGCACUUAGAUUUUCUUGACGCUUCAAUUAAAACAUUGAUUUCAUCAAUGCCUAGUAAUCAAUGUAGCUUCCCAAUAAGGGAAAAAUGAUUCAUAGGUGGUGUUGAAAACCUAUAUUAGAUGGACUAAAAAAUGACUGAAUAUAUUUAUUUCUAAUGAUUGUGUCAUUAUUAGAGGGGAGUAUAUAAAUACAAGCCCAGAACUCAGAAUACAAAUAAUAUUAGAACUGUAAGGGGCAAAUAGUUAGCGAAAACCCAAAAGGUGAUGCACAAUUCAGAUUACUAAGAAGAGCUUCAUCCAUCGAGCAGUAAAAUCUAUCAUACAUAAUUUUGAUCCCCACAAAUCUCAAUCAGAGUUCAAGCACUACUGCAACAGAGCUAGGAGCUACGGCAACAGCAGAAUCGACAACGUAAAACUCCUUCAUAAACUAACACUAACGUCUCUAUAAUCAUGAAAAUCCACUACACUUGAAAUUUCAGACCACCCGAAUAAAAUUCAUUUGGUUAAACUAUAAUUAAACUAAUUCCAAUUACAGCUACAAACGAAAACUAAACAUCAAACAUCCGGCUCAUGCAUACUCCAACAGCACGCGUAGAAAAAUACCGAAGGGAAACAGGUAGAGAUUGCCUCAGAGACGUAUCAUCAAACAGUUAGUACGCGGAAUAGCUUCCUCUACUUGUUUGUUCAACUUUCAUUUCUCAGAAGGAUUUUCGAGAUGUUUCAAUAUGGACUUU
rnacentral:lncRNA from 1 species